UCCUCAGUCUCUCAGCGGUAGAGCGGUCGGCUGUUGACUAAUUCGUCGUAGGUUCAAAUCCUACUUGAAGAG
rnacentral:tRNA from 1 species